UCCCCGAUCCCUCGCCGAAACCGUGCCUGUGCCCAGCCUCACCGACACUGCCUUCUUCGCGUGCCCUAAUCGGGUCACGGCAGUUUCUCCCCUCUCCGCGUACAAAACCACUCGGCCAAGGGGUUUUGCAUCUUCCCUCUCACGCCGCUGUCUUCCUCCUUCGACAACCUUCUCGCCACUGCCUGAAGCCCUCCUCUGCCGCCACCACAGCGACGUUGUCCCUGCGCCCUAGCCGCCGGCGACGCACGGAGCAGCGCCGCACCCCCCGGUGCCCUAGUGUCGAUCACCACGCACCCUUUCUUCCUCUGCCCUAGUUUGUGUUCACGACCGAUUCUCUGUGCCGGCACUCGAGCCUAGCGCCGACGCCGCCUCCCGAUUCCUCUCCCCUCCUCUGGUCCGACGAGACAUCGCCGGCCCCUCCUCUGUGCUUGUGCCCUAGCGAGCCGACGCCACUUCCUUGCCACUGCCGCUACACCCUUUGCCCCAGUGCCGAACCGACCCUUUCUUCUGCCCUAGCCGAGCCUCACACUUGUGUGAGUUGCUGCCCUGGGUUCUACCGAGCCUUGGGUUUAGGGUCAGUGGCUCACUUUAGCUACGACCACAGUUCUGGCAGCAGGUGCUCCAUCGACAAAUUUACGAUGAAGUAUACGAAUUUGGGUGAGUUUGGAUUGAGGGUUUUGACGCGAGACGAGCAUCUCGACAUCAGAUUUGGACUAGAUUGGAUCCUCUCUUUUGGAGG